UUUCCUUAGGCUCUCCUUGCUGCUGCUUGUCCAGACUGCAAGCAUUGCCUCAGCACUAGUGUAAGGCCUUCAGCUUUCAGCUUCCUCAAUACAAGACAAACAAGAUCACAGUGAGGCAAGAUCUACGAAGAUGAUUUGUGGACUGGAGCAUUUGACAGACGUGAAAUGGCCAAAAGAACUGGAGUUCUUCAGCCUGGAGAUGACUUAGUCAGAAAAAAGACUGUUUGCUGUCAAAGAAAGCUCUCAACUGUGACAGCUAUGAUUUCUCAGACUCUAGAAGAUUCACCUUCCAAGCUGUCUACCGUAUUUCAAGUCUGACACCUCCUGUGGGACACAGUGUCCCACAACCCAUUUUUCUCAUUAUAACCACUCUGAAGCCAACUUUAUGUGAGGAACCAGAUACAUUCUGUACGAAUAGCAAGAAACUGUUAAUCUCACUUCCACAAAAAAUGUUAAGUCCAAACACCAAAGAAAAAGAAAUACAUGUAUGAAUACAUUUCUGCUACCAUCUUGCCAAUCUCAUCAACACUCGCACUUCUAAGAAUGGAGGCAAGAAAUCUGUCGAAAACUGAAGACAGACAGAUACUGUUAGCAGAACAUAUCUUUUAGAGACAGAUGGAGAAGUCUAACUUUAGCUACUUUUGCUGUGAUAAGACCAGAGGAUGAGGGCCUUUGACCACUGACCAGAGUCUAAAACCUAUCACGAGAUGAUCUCUUGGAGCUAUCAUCCAGAUCUUGUAACUACAAGAAAGUCUUUGAAUCACUCUAGCAGAAAUGACAAAAAACAAUGGAGUACAAGAAGCUGCCUACUCUGCUACACUUCCAUUUGAAUGAGUCAUCUGUCUUCUGGGAAGUGAAUAUUUUACUAUGCCAUAUUCCUCUGCAGCCGAUGAACAUGCUCAGCCAGGCUCCUUUUUAAACAGGUAUGCUAAAAACAGAAGACUGACAGAGACAAAAAUCAAACAAAUAUCAACUGAUUUGUAUAGGAUUUCAAGCAGAGGAAGAGAAGGAGAAAAUAAAUAAUUUUCUUCUCAAUUACACGUGGAUACUCUUCUAAGGAUGGAAUCUGGUUCUAUUUAAAGUGAAAUAAAUAUUGUUUCUCCCAAGUGCUCCAGAAGAUGUCUACCUGAAAAUCUCUCUGAGCACAUACUUACGUUCACUGAGUUGUCUAAACAUUUAUUCCAAUGAGUGUGUGUCAGCAAAGCACUCCUACCUAUAAACAUGUUUUCAAAAAGUUGUUCUCUUUUAGAACAAAUGAGUAAAUAAAAAGAUAAUUGUUUGUUUGGCAAAGGCAGAAACAUAAGAAUAAACCACCUCUUGU
ensembl:lncRNA